GACGAACGCUGGCGGCGUGCUUAACACAUGCAAGUCGAGCGGUAAGGCCCUUUCGGGGGUACACGAGCGGCGAACGGGUGAGUAACACGUGGGUGACCUGCCCUCAGCUCUGGGAUAAGCCCGGGAAACUGGGUCUAAUACUGGAUAUGACUCCACGGUGCAUGCCGUGGGGUGGAAAGCCUUGUGCGGCUGAGGAUGGGCCCGCGGCCUAUCAGCUUGUUGGUGGGGUGAUGGCCUACCAAGGCGACGACGGGUAGCCGGCCUGAGAGGGCGACCGGCCACACUGGGACUGAGACACGGCCCAGACUCCUACGGGAGGCAGCAGUGGGGAAUCUUGCGCAAUGGGCGAAAGCCUGACGCAGCGACGCCGCGUGAGGGAUGACGGCCUCGGUUGUAA
rnacentral:rRNA from 1 species